CUGCCCUUUAAAGUUUAUGAAAAGGUGACUCCUUCGUGAACAAGCCCCAUAGUACAUUGUAUAGAAAGGGACAAACCUCCCUGCUGAAACUAGUGGAAGACGCUGCCCUUUAAAGUUUAUGAAAAGGUGACUCCUUCGUGAACAAGCCCCAUAGUACAUUGUAUAGAAAGGGACAAACCUCCCUGCUGAAACUAGUGGAA